rnacentral:rRNA from 1 species
AUUGAACGCUGGCGGCAGGCUUAACACAUGCAAGUCGAGCGGGGGAGGUUACUUCGGUAACUGACCUAGCGGCGGACGGGUGAGUAAUGCUUAGGAAUCUGCCUAUUAGUGGGGGACAACAUUCCGAAAGGAAUGCUAAUACCGCAUACGCCCUACGGGGGAAAGCAGGGGAUCUUCGGACCUUGCGCUAAUCGAUGAGCCUAGGUCGGAUUAGCUAGUUGGUGGGGUAAAGGCCUACCAAGGCGACGAUCUGUAGCGGGUCUGAGAGGAUGAUCCGCCACACUGGGACUGAGACACGGCCCAGACUCCUACGGGAGGCAGCAGUGGGGAAUAUUGGACAAUGGGCGGAAGCCUGAUCCAGCCAUGCCGCGUGUGUGAAGAAGGCCUUUUGGUUGUAAAGCACUUUAAGCGAGGAGGAGGCUCCUUUAGUUAAUACCUAAAGAGAGUGGACGUUACUCGCAGAAUAAGCACCGGCUAACUCUGUGCCAGCCGCCGCCGUAAUAC